AUUGAACGCUGGCGGCAUGCCUUACACAUGCAAGUCGAACGGUAACAGGUCUUCGGAUGCGGACGAGUGGCGAACGGGUGAGUAAUACAUCGGAACGUGCCCAGACGUGGGGGAUAACGAGGCGAAAGCUUUGCUAAUACCGCAUACGAUCUAAGGAUGAAAGCAGGGGACCGCAAGGCCUUGCGCGUUUGGAGCGGCCGAUGGCAGAUUAGGUAGUUGGUGGGAUAAAAGCUUACCAAGCCGACGAUCUGUAGCUGGUCUGAGAGGACGACCAGCCACACUGGGACUGAGACACGGCCCAGACUCCUACGGGAGGCAGCAGUGGGGAAUUUUGGACAAUGGGCGAAAGCCUGAUCCAGCAAUGCCGCGUGCAGGAUGAAGGCCUUCGGGUUGUAAACUGCUUUUGUACGGAACGAAAAGGCUCUGGCUAAUACCUGGGGCACAUGACGGUACCGUAAGAAUAAGCACCGGCUAACUACGUG
rnacentral:rRNA from 1 species